rnacentral:rRNA from 1 species
CUACGGGUUGCAGCAGUGAGGAAUAUUGCACAAUGGAGGAAACUCUGAUGCAGCAACGCCGCGUGGAGGAUGACGCAUUUCGGUGUGUAAACUCCUUUUAUAUGUCAAGAAAAUGACGGUAGCAUAUGAAUAAGCACCGGCUAACUCCGUGCCAGCAGCCGCGGUAAUACGGAGGGUGCAAGCGUUACUCGGAAUCACUGGGCGUAAAGGACGCGUAGGCGGGAUAUCAAGUCAGGUGUGAAAUCCUACAGCUUAACUGUAGAACUGCACUUGAAACUGGUAACCUAGAGUAUGGGAGGGGAGAUGGAAUUAGUGGUGUAGGGGUAAAAUCCGUAGAUAUCACUAGGAAUACCUAAAGCGAAGGCGAUCUCCUGGAAUAUAACUGACGCUAAGGCGUGAAAGCGUGGGGAGCAAACAGGAUUAGAUACCCUCGUAGUC